UGUGGGCCUGAGGGUCCAUAGGUGACAUUAUCAGUCGGUAGACAUUUAUUCUACUGUUCGACGAAAACAAACAGGGGUACAGCUUAGGUGAAAAGAGAAACAGCUUAUUGCCAGGGUCUAAACUCCUAACAACGGAAUGUGUCUGGGAGCGUGUGUAUGGAUACACGUGUACUUUAGAGCAGCCCCGCCUG
ensembl:misc_RNA